rnacentral:rRNA from 1 species
UAGGGAAUCUUCGGCAAUGGACGAAAGUCUGACCGAGCAACGCCGCGUGAGUGAAGAAGGUUUUCGGAUCGUAAAACUCUGUUGUUAGAGAAGAACAAGGACGUUAGUAACUGAACGUCCCCUGACGGUAUCUAACCAGAAAGCCACGGCUAACUACGUGCCAGCAGCCGCGGUAAUACGUAGGUGGCAAGCGUUGUCCGGAUUUAUUGGGCGUAAAGCGAGCGCAGGCGGUUUCUUAAGUCUGAUGUGAAAGCCCCCGGCUCAACCGGGGAGGGUCAUUGGAAACUGGGAGACUGGAGUGCAGAAGAGGAGAGUGGAAGUCCAUGUGUAGCGGUGAAAUGCGUAGAUAUAUGGAGGAACACCGGUGGCGAAGGCGGCUCUCUGGUCUGUAACUGACGCUGAGGCUCGAAAGCGUGGGGAGCAAACAGG